AUACGUAGGGUGCAAGCGUUAAUCGGAAUUACUGGGCGUAAAGCGUGCGCAGGCGGUUCGGAAAGAAAGAUGUGAAAUCCCAGGGCUCAACCUUGGAACUGCAUUUUUAACUCCCGAACUAGAGUGUGUCAGAGGGGGGUGGAAUUCCACGUGUAGCAGUGAAAUGCGUAGAUAUGUGGAGGAACACCGAUGGCGAAGGCAGCCCCCUGGGAUAACACUGACGCUCAUGCACGAAAGCGUGGGGAGCAAACAGGAUUAGAUACCCUGGUAGUCCACGCCCUAAACGAUGUCAACUAGCUGUUGGGUUCUUCGGAGCUUGGUAGCGCAGCUAACGCGUGAAGUUGACCGCCUGGGGAGUACGGUCGCAAGAUUAA
rnacentral:rRNA from 1 species